GACCGCAUUGUUCAGAGAUUGGAAAACUCAACACUAACAAAUUAACGAGCAAUGGAAGUUUUCAAUGGCGGGCUGCGCCUUAGGGUAAGUCUUCGACUCGGCAGAUUACAAAGAAAACAACCAUCUCAAAUCCUGUCAACAGGAGUUUUCUCAAUAAAGACAAUGCGGUUUUUUUU
rnacentral:sRNA from 1 species